GACAGAGGGUGCAACCGUUGCUCGGAAUCACUGGGCGUAAAGGGCGUGUAGGCGGGAAGGAAAGUCAGAUGUGAAAUCCCCAGGCUCAACCUGGGAACUGCAUUUGAAACUCCCUUUCUUGAGUACCGGAGAGGAAAGUGGAAUUCCUGGUGUAGAGGUGAAAUUCGUAGAUAUCAGGAGGAACACCAGUGGCGAAGGCGGCUUUCUGGACGGUAACUGACGCUGAGACGCGAAAGCGUGGGGAGCAAACAGG
rnacentral:rRNA from 1 species